AUAUAUAUUUUUUUUUUUUCUCUAGUUUAAAAAAAAGAAAAAAAUUACAUAAGUAAAAAUAUUUAAAUACAAAUUACAUAUACAUACAGUACAUACAGUACCCAGUAUAACAGAGUACACCAUAAUUCUGAAAACAAAGCACCCCUUGUUUUAAAAAUAAUACUGGGAUUCUAUAGAAUUAGAUAUUUGUGCAAAUCUGUUUUACCAGUUUUACAUUACAUUAGCAUACCCAUUAGCAUACCCAAAUACAUAAGGGGAACUAAUCUAACAAAAUAUUUAUGUAAUUUAAUGACUUAAAAUAUGUGCACUACAAUAGAAAUUAAUUAAAUUAGUAGAUUUAAUUAAUGUAUUUAAAAAUUGGUCUUAAUUAUUUAAUAUUAAUUGGUCAUAAUUAUUUUUGCAGCACCUAGGCAAUUUUUGUGUAUUAUUUUCCUUUACUAAAUGAUAUUAAAUGACCACAUUUUUAUGUUAAUUAUUUUAUUUAUUGUUUCAUAGAAUCUGAAUUAUUGAAGAGGGAGGAAGGUGGGGGGUGCACUCAUGCUGGGCACUGUACUGUAUGUGUGUGUGUGUAUUUGUUCAUAUAUAAUUCAAAAUAUUAAUACAAAAAUCUAAAUUUGAAUUUGUGUGGAAGCCAAAAAAAAUACCCCAAACACGUGUGAUAACUGGAAAACUGGAGCAUAAUUGGCAUGGUUACAAUUCUCAAAAUUAAUAAUAUUGUCCAUUGUUUUAGCAACUAACCAGAGAGUGAUCCUGUGUCUUGUCCACAACAAUCCUUUGUGGUGUUUGUUGGUCUGGACUGAGUGAAAUCUGCAUAUGGUUUGAUUUGGCAACCAGACUGACCUUAAUACAUCACUUUUGGGUCAAGUUUCAUGCAGACGAUCUCUCUUUGUUAAACUAAAUUCCAUACUGUACCUGCUGUAACAAGCAAGCAAAGCAAUACUUCUACACUUUCACAAGUAAAGCAAGAUGCCAGGAGAGAGACUGUAAUUUGACCAACAUAAUAGAUCAUGACACCAUCUUGUAUCUCCAUCUCUCAACAUCAUGCUGAAAAACACAACCUUCGACAAUCCUGACGUUUGGGUCAAGUGACAAAACUGAUAAUCUCUCCUUGAAUAACAUGAAAAUGUUCAAUUAAUUCGAAAGAAAGCUCAAUAAAUGAUAAACUGCAAA
rnacentral:lncRNA from 1 species